rnacentral:lncRNA from 1 species
GCGGCGGCGGUGGGAGUGGUGACAGCGGGACUGAACUCAUUGGCGGAAUCUUCGCUGGAUUCGUCCUCCAGCAUGGAGUCGAUGAGGAGGUGGUGGAAGUCAUCGUGGUGGCCGCCGGAGAGUACUUCCCAGUCAACCAUCGGCGACCAGCCUUGGUCCCAUUUGUAAGUGUCGUCGUCGGUGGUGGUGGUGGUGGUUCUAGUGGUGGUGGUGGUGCUGGAGGUGUGGCUGGAGAG